CCUACGGUGUGCUGCAGUGGGGAAUAUUGGACAAUGGGCGAAAGCCUGAUCCAGCCAUGCCGCGUGUGUGAAGAAGGCCUUCGGGUUGUAAAGCACUUUCAGUGGGGAAGAAAGCCUUGGGGCUAAUACCCUCGAGGAAGGACAUCACCCACAGAAGAAGCACCGGCUAACUCCGUGCCAGCAGCCGCGGUAAUACGGAGGGUGCGAGCGUUAAUCGGAAUUACUGGGCGUAAAGCGCGCGUAGGCGGUCUGAUAAGCCGGUUGUGAAAGCCCCGGGCUCAACCUGGGAACGGCAUCCGGAACUGUCAGGCUAGAGUGCAGGAGAGGAAGGUAGAAUUCCCGGUGUAGCGGUGAAAUGCGUAGAGAUCGGGAGGAAUACCAGUGGCGAAGGCGGCCUUCUGGACUGACACUGACGCUGAGGUGCGAAAGCGUGGGUAGCAAACAGGAUUAGAUACCCUGGUAAUC
rnacentral:rRNA from 1 species